rnacentral:sRNA from 1 species
GCGUAUGAACGCCUAAAUCACACAUGCACCGUCACAUGGUCCCGGGUGCCUGCGUCACGCGAGUGCGCUGGUCGGAUCCAUGGGGUGCAUGGAGGCCUAAC